CUCCGGUUGAUCCUGCCGGUGCCGUAGUUGAUUGCGAACUUAUCCUCGACGCUGUGGAGCGUAUGUUCGAGUACCGGAUCGCGGAAUUGCGGAAAGGCCUGAACAUCUUCAAUUUCGUCAUGAUAGACGACGGUAAACUCACGAAAGGGCUGGUCGCGAUCAGGCUCGGUCGCGUUGGCUCGAUAGGUCCCGGCUGGGAACCUUCCCUUGUUGGGACCGGUGAUGAUUGCGUUCAAGUCGGUCUUGACGAUGGUGUCAACGUUGAGCAUUUUCAGAAUGGGCUGGCCAGCCUUGGGAUUGCCCGCCGGGUAGACCGCAUCGUAGUUGAUGAUCGGAUGGCCAUCGGCAGUGGUGCCGGUCGUGGCCAAAGCCAGAUCGGCCUGCGUGACCUGUGAGCGGUACCACUCUGCACCGCGCUGUUCGACGUUGACGCUGCCGAAUAGCCCCAUCGCGAGCGUGCCCCCGUCGCCCUCGCCGCCAGUCGUCGCGGCUGAACUGUACAUUAAGUUAUUGCCCUCACGCGUGGCGGCAAGGGUAUAGACGGUAGAGCCGUUCGGAGCGACUAAACUCGGCUGGUUGAUACCGACGUUUGAUCCGUCCGAGGUAAUGUUAUCGACCAGUUCCAGGCCUAUCACGUGUAUGCCAGCCGAGCGUGUCCGGGGUUGAUCAUCGAAGGGCGGGUUAGUCGUGCUGAUUGGAUUUGGAGAAAGCAGGUUUGUAAAAGUAAUUUUCAGGCAAUCGCCGUUGUUCAUGCGCAACACGAUCGGCCGGGGGCGUUUGUCUGAUCGCAAUCUCACAUUGCCCGCCACAAGUCCCAGCCCUGCGUUGAUGGCCACGACAUCCGCCUUGAGCGCGUAGAUCAUCCCGCCCGGAUUCACCGUCCCGAGGCGGUUGUACAUGAUCACCUGAUCCAGCGCGACCACAUCGGCCUUGAUCGUGCGCUCGCACGCAGGAAUUGGC
rnacentral:rRNA from 1 species